AUUGAACGCUGGCGGAAUGCUUUACACAUGCAAGUCGAACGGCAGCACGGACUUCGGUCUGGUGGCGAGUGGCGAACGGGUGAGUAAUAUAUCGGAACGUGCCCAGUCGUGGGGGAUAACGUAGUGAAAAUUACGCUAAUACCGCAUACGAUCUACGGAUGAAAGCGGGGGAUCACAAGACCUCGCGCGAUUGGAGCGGCCGAUAUCAGAUUAGGUAGUUGGUGAGGUAAAGGCUCACCAAGCCGACGAUCUGUAGCUGGUCUGAGAGGACGACCAGCCACACUGGGACUGAGACACGGCCCAGACUCCUACGGGAGGCAGCAGUGGGGAAUUUUGGACAAUGGACGCAAGUCUGAUCCAGCCAUUCCGCGUGCAGGACGAAGGCCUUCGGGUUGUAAACUGCUUUUGUACAGAACGAAAAGGUCUCUAUUAAUACUGGGGGCUCAUGACGGUACUGUAAGAAUAAGCACCGGCUAACUACGUGCCAGCAGCCGCGGUAA
rnacentral:rRNA from 1 species